ensembl:lncRNA
CCUGCCACCCCAACGCUCUAACCACUAGGCUACCUGCCUCCCCAACGCUCUAACCACUAGGCUACCUGCCGCUCUAACCACUAGGUUACCUGCCGCCCCAACGCUCUAGGUUACCUGCCUCCCCAACACUGUAACCACGAGGCUAUCUGCCACACCAACGAUCUAACCACUAGGUUACCUGCCUCCCCAACACUGUAACCACUAGGCUAUCUGCCACCCCAACGAUCUAACCACUAGGUCAUCUGCCACCCCAACGCUCUAACCACUAUGCUACCUGACUCUCCAACACUAACCACUAGGCUAACUGCCUCCCCAACGUUCUAACCACUAGGCUACCUGCCGCCCCAACGCUCUAACCACUAGAUUACCUGCCGCCCCAUCGCUCUAACCAAAAGGCUACCUGCCGCUCUAACCACUAGGCUACCUGCCGCUCUAACCACUAUGUUAUCUGCCUACCUAAUGCUCUUACCACAAGGCUACCUUUCUCUCCAACACUCUAACCAUCAGGCUACCUGCCGCCCCAAUGCUCUAACCACUAGGCUACCUGCCGCUCUAACCACUAGGUUACCUGCCGCCCCAACGCUCUAGGUUACCUGCCGCCACAACACUCUAACCACUAGGUUACCUGCCUCCCCAAUGCUCUAACCACUAGGCUAUCUGUCACCCCAACGAUCUAACCACUAGGUUACCUGUCACCCCAACGCUCUAACCACUAGGCUACCUGGCUCCCCAACGCUCUAACCACUAGGCUACCUGCCGCCCCAACGCUCUAACCACUAGGCUACCUGCCGCUCUAACCACUAGGUUACCUGCCGCCCCAACGCUCUAGGUUACCUGCCUCCCCAACACUGUAACCACGAGGCUAUCUGCCACACCAACGAUCUAACCACUAGGUUACCUGCCACCUCAAUGCUCUAACCAUUAGGUUACCUGCCUCCCCAACGCUCGAACCACUAGGCUACCUACCACCCUAUAACACUGUAACCACUAGGCUAUCUGCCACCCCAACGAUCUAACCACUAGGUCAUCUGCCACCCCAACGCUCUAACCACUAUGCUACCUGACUCUCCAACACUCUAACCACUAGGCUAACUGCCUCCCCAACGUUCUAACCACUAGGCUACCUGCCGCCCCAACGCUCUAACCACUAGAUUACCUGCCGCACCAUCGCUCUAACCACUAGGUUACCUGCUGCUCUAACCACUAGGCUACCUGCCGCUCUAACCACUAGGCUACCUGCCGCUCUAACCACUAUGUUACCUGCCUACCUAAUGCUCUUACCACUAGGCUACCUGCCGCCACAUCGCUCUAACCACUAGGCUACCUGCCGCUCUAACCACUAGGUUACCUGCCGCCCCAACGCUAUAACCACUAGGCUACCUGCCGCUCUAACCACUAGGUUACCUGCUGCCCCAACGCUCUAAUUACUAGGCUACCUGCCGCUCUUACCACUAGGCUACCUGCCGCCCCAACGCUCUAACCACUAGGCUACCUGCCGCUCUAACCACUAGGUUACCUGCCGCCCCAACGCUCUAGGCUAUCUGCCACAACAACGAUCUAACCACUAGGCUACCUGCCUCCCCAACGCUCUAACCACUAUGCUACCUGCCACCCCAACGCUUUAACCAUUAGGCUACCUGCCUCCCUAACGCCCUCACCACUAGGCUACCUGCCUCCCCAACACUCUAACCACUAGGCUAUCUGCCACCCCAACGAUCUAACCACUAGGUUACCUGUCACCCCAACGCUCUAACCACUAGGCUACCUGGCUCCCCAACGCUCUAACCACUAGGCUACCUGCCGCCCCAACGCUCUAACCACUAGGCUACCUGCCUCCCCAACGCUCUAACAACUAGGCUACCUGCCUCCCCAAUGCUCUAACCACUAGGCUACAUGCCUCCGCAAUGCUCUAACUACUAGGCUACCUGCCUCCCAACAUUCUAACCACUAGGCUACCUGCCGCCCCAAAGCUCAAACUACUAGGCUACCUGCCGCUCUAACCUCUAGGUUACCUGUCGCUCUAACCACUAGGUUACCUGCCGCCUCAACAAUCUAACCACUAGGCUACCUGCCGCCGCUAUGCUCUAACCACUAAGCUACCUGCCACCCCUAUGCUCUAACCACUAGGCUACCUGCCGCCCCUACGCUCUGACCACUAGGCUACCUGCCGCCUCCACACUCUAACCACUAGGCUACCUCCCGCCUCUACACUCUAACCACUAGGCUACCUGCCGCCCCUACGCUCUGACCACUAGGCUACCUGCCGCCUCUACACUCUAACCACUAGGCUACCUGCCGCCCCUACGCUCUGACCACUAGGCUACCUGCCGCCUCUACACUUUAACCACUAGGCUACCUGCCGCCCCUACGCUCUGACCACUAGGCUACCUGCCGCCCCUACGCUCUAACCACUAGGCUAUCUGCCACCCCAACGAUCUAGCCACUAGGUUACCUGUCACCCCAACGCUCUAACCACUAGGCUACCUGCCUCCCCAACGCCCUAACCACUAGGCUACCUGCCUCCACAACGCUCUAACCACUAGGCUACCUUUCUCUCCAACACUCUAACCAUCAGGCUACCUGCCGCCCCAAUGCUCUAACCACUAGGCUACCUGCCGCUCUAACCACUAGGUUACCUGCCGCCCCAACGCUCUAGGUUACCUGCCGCCACAACGCUCUAACCACUAGGUUACCUGCCUCCCCAACACUGUAACCACUAGGCUAUCUGCCACACCAACGAUCUAACCACUAGGCUACCUGCCUCCCCAACACUCUAACCACUAGGCUACCUGCCACCCCAACGCUUUAACCAUUAGGCUACCUGCCUCCCUAACGCCCUCACCACUAGGCUACCUGCCUCCCCAACACUCUAACCACUAGGCUAUCUGCCACCCCAACGAUCUAACCACUAGAUUACCUGUCACCCCAACGCUCUAACCACUAGGCUACCUGGCUCCCCAACGCUCUAACCACUAGGCUACCUGCCGCCCUGUCAUUCUAACCAUUAGGUUACCUGCCUCUCUAACCACUAGGCUACCUGCUGCUCCAACCACUAGAUUAACUGCCUCCCCAACGCUCUAACAACUAGCCUACCUGCCGCCCCAACGCUCUAAUCACUAGCCUACCUGCCGCCCCAGCGCUCUAACCACUAAGCUACCUGCCGCCCCAACGCUCUAGGUUACCUGCCACACCAACGCUGUAACCACUAGGUUACCUGCCUCCCCAACGCUCUAACCACUAGGCUACCUGCCACACCAAUGCUCUAACCACUAGGCUACCUGCCACCUCAACGCUCUAGGUUACCUGCCACCCCAACGCUCUAACAACUAGGCUACCUGCCUCCCCAACGCUCUAACCACGAGGCUACAUGCCUCCGCAAUGCUCUAACUACUAGGCUACCUGCCUCCCCAACAUUCUAUCCACUAGGCUACCUGCCUCCCAACAUUCUAACCACUAGGCUACCUGCCGCCCCAAAGCUCAAACUACUAGGCUACCUGCCGCUCUAACCACUAGGUCACCUGUCGCUCUAACCACUAGGUUAGAUCUGUUAUUAGCUGGCUAGCCAAUUUGACGUGAUCCAUCAGCAGCAAUCGUGACUAAACACUCUUAAAAAACAAUGUUGAAAAGUGGAUAACGUUAGCUAAAUUUGCUAGGUAGGCCUACGUUGGUCUGAGAAAGAAGUACAUUAGGUCUAUUUACCUCUGUUUAGCCUGUAACAAGUUUAUGCCGAUAGCUUGCAAGUAUUAUCAGCUAACAGUACAUUGGUAAAAUGUUCCCUUCUGCUGCUUGACAGGAAGAGCCUGCAAAGGACAAGAAAUUAACCUUAACCACUCAUUCUUGUCAGCUAUAGUUCACUUUUAUUUUAUAACACUCACAUAUCCAAUCAAUGGUGGCCAAUGUUAAGAGAUAUCGUCAGGCUACCCUCACAUAUCUGAAAUGACCAUGAACAGCAUGCAGUUACUGCUGUAUAACUGAUACAGCAGAAUAUGGAAUUAUCUGACAUUUGUAGUUCUAUGCUCUUCCAGAGGUGAUGAUACCGAACGCUCUGCACCGUAUUGUGACGCUUUAUUGACAACCUAUUCUAACCAUUCUAGCCAGUCUAAGGGUCAUUCCAUUAAAUGAGUGCCAUUUGAUUAUUUUAAGUAGGAAUCGUGUGCAAAUAUUGAAUUUUAAAAGCCUGUUAUAUUAAGUGAAGUGCCCUUUAAUAAAAUGGUCAAUUCAUUGAAUUGACAGAUGUCAAUUCAAUGUCUAUUCCACAUUGGUUGAAUGUAAUUUCACUGAAAUUAUGUUGAAAGUGAGUUGAUUCAACCAGUGGGAGACCACAUGGAAAUUCAAUAAAUCUGCUUUUUUAUAUGAAUAAAGACUUGCUAAAGUGCCAAAAUGUUGCAUUUUGACAUGUCCCUCUGUACGCCUUUUGUGACUACUCGGAAGAUUUGAACCCACUAUCCCCAAAAUGUCUCUAAAUGUUCAGCAUCAUUGUAAAGCCCUAGUUAUGUUAUGUUGCUUUGACAGUCAUUUCUGCUGAUUUACUAUUUAUUUAAUGAUUCAUUUCAAUGUUUAAAAAGAAAGUAAUUUUAAGGUCAACCCUGUUACUUGGACUAAACUCUCGUUUUAUUCCUUAAGAGUCUGUUGACACAUCCGUGUGUCAAUCUAAGUAACGUAAUAACACAGCCAGCAGCAUACCACCCUGCAUACCACUGUUGGCUUGCUUCUGAAGAUAAGCAGGGUUGGUCCUGGUGAGUCCCUGGAUGGGAGACCAGAUUCUGCUGGAAGUGGUGUUGGAGUGCCAGAAGGAGGCACUCUUUCUUCAGGCCUUAAAAAAUAUCCCAAUUCCACAGGGUAGUGAUUGAGAACACUGCCCUGUGUAGGGUGCUGUCUUUCGGGUGGGACGUUAAACGGGUGUCCUGACUCUCUGAGGUCAUUUAUGAUCCCAUGGCACUGAUUGUAAGAGUAGGGGUGUUAACCCUGGUGUCCUGGCUAAAUUCCCAAUCUGGCCCUCAAACCAUCAUGGUCACCUAAUAAUCCCCAGUUUACAAUUGGCUCAUUCAUCCCCCUCCUCUCCCCUGUAACUAUUCC